GCUAACUCUCAAAAAAACAGACGCUGCCCCUCUUACCCGUGUAACAUCAUUAUCAAUCAGAAACACGUCGGAGUGGGGUAACAACUUCCCGGAAAACAGAGCCGGAGAUUUGCGGCCGGAAUAGACGCCCCUGCUCAAACCAACGCAGCAGUGCUUCACUUCACUCCACUCCGCACCGCGAGAUGCGCAAUUAACAACAUAGAGAUAUAAAUACUUAAAGUUAGUGUGCUAUGUAAACUUACUAUUCAAAUGCUUUAACUCUUCAAUUUGUUCGUUUUUCUCAUCAUGUUAAUUUGUUUUUUUCUUAAAAUUCAUGUCCCUUAUUUCACUCAAACUUCUUAACAUAGGUUUCAAAAACACUGGACUGAAUUUUUAUUGUUUGGAUUUUAUUUUCUUGGUUUCUGACAGACAAGAAAUUAGACUAGUUAGAGAUCCAAUGCUGAAACAUUCAUUGAUUCGCUUUUUGUUUUUAAAUUUAUACUAAAUUUCAAGGUUUUAAUUAGCGGUUGUGGUUGUGUUGAGGAUUUCGCGAUUCCGGCUGUUACUUGCCGAUGUUGCGUUGGGAAUUAAUCACCAAUUGCACAAAGCUUAUUCAAAGUAUAUAAUGUAUAAUACUAGUUGAGAGAUUAUAGAAUGUUGAAUAGAACCAGAGAAGGAAGUAAGGUACUGUUCAAAUUUAUUCUGAAAAAAUAAUUUUAUCCUUUUGGAAUGGAAAAAUGGGAUUCUCGGAUAUAUUUUUUCUGAACAGGUUUCGUCAUGGUCGUUGCGCCCGUAACGAUGUUUUGUUGCAGCCGUUUUCCGUGAUUUUUCUUCACUAGCGAAAGAUCAAAAUUUUGCGACUGAGGUUUGCAUAUCAAAGUAUGUCCAGACUUUGCAAAAGGUGUGUAUUUCAGAUUCAUCACAAAGUGCUACCAUCAGAUGCUUGCUUGUGCCUCCCUUCAUGUAUGUGGAGUCCCAUCUUAAAAUUGUGUCAAUAGGUUGGCAUAACUUUGGAGCUCGGUAACAGGAUUAUUUUGGGGUUUAAAUCUAGUUAAGAAUCAUUAGGCUCUAAUUGCAUCAAAACAAAAGUGAUGGUUCCAAGUUUAGAGAGGAGACAUGGGAGCACAUUCUAUUGCAUAAUAUGCCCAAGUCAUCAUCUGUGUAUCAAAGAUUCGUUAUCAUAAUUUUUCUGAUUGUUUUCUAACAAUUUGUUCAUGUAAUAGAGUUUGGAGUUUGUAUGAGCAUAACUUGUGCGAUUGGAAUAAUACAUUACUUACUAUAUUGGGUAAAUUUCUAUCCUUCUCGUGUGUAUCACGAACUAAAGAAAAUUGGAACAUUAUAAUCAUGUAUAGAUGUAUAUUACUUACUA